rnacentral:misc_RNA from 1 species
ACCUAACAACAUGAGGACAAGCAAUGCAGGAGAUAAUAUACAAAAUGACUAUCAUCACUGUCACUAAAAUCAGAUAUGUCAUCAUCAUCCAUGUUUAAGGUAGCUUCAGGUGUGCUAUUAAGUUGAUCCGUAUUUUUAAAUAGAAUUCGUUGCUUGUGAAAUAGUUCAAGAUGAUUAUUCAUUGUCUCAUUCUCAACACACAGUUG